rnacentral:rRNA from 2 species
GGGUUGUGAGGUUAAGCGACUAAGCGUACACGGUGGAUGCCCUGGCAGUCAGAGGCGAUGAAGGACGUGCUAAUCUGCGAAAAGCGUCGGUAAGGUGAUAUGAACCGUUACAGCCGGCGAUGUCCGAAUGGGGAAACCCAGUGCAAUUCGUUGCACUAUCGUUAACUGAAUACAUAGGUUAACGAGGCGAACCGGGGGAACUGAAACA